rnacentral:rRNA from 1 species
CAGCAGCCGCGGGAAUACGAAGGGUGCAAGCGUUAAUCGGAAUUACUGGGCGUAAAGCGUGCGUAGGCGGUGAGUUAAGUCUGCUGUGAAAUCCCCGGGCUCAACCUGGGAAUGGCAGUGGAUACUGGCUCGCUAGAGUGUGUCAGAGGAUGGUGGAAUUCCCGGUGUAGCGGUGAAAUGCGUAGAUAUGCGGAGGAACACCGAUGGCGAAGGCAAUCCCCUGGGCCUGCACUGACGCUCAUGCACGAAAGCGUGGGGAGCAAACAGGAUUAGAUACCCCCGUAGUCCCUGUCUCUUAUAC